UUCUCCUCUCCCUGAGAAACCCCAGCGUCGUCCCGUUCCACAUGCUCUUUUCAGCUUUUCUGCUGCUUCGAAGCCCAAAGUUCAGGGAGCAAGACUCAACGGCCAGCCACGGAGCAAGACUGAAAAGACCAUUUAAGGCAAUCAUCUCAAUUUUGUAGGACUAGGAUGUGUUUGGACAGUUCUAGAAUUCUAUGCUUUGUGCAGAAUUUAAUCAACACUGCUAAACAUAAAAAAAAUGUGAUUAAAAGAAACAGGCAUGUAAUCUUUUGAAGAGUGAUCUUCUUUUUCUACAGAAUCUAAUCUCCAUAUGAGCUUUCAUGGUAAUGUAAAGGUAACAACUUGGAGGAAUGUUUCCCCGUAAAAAAAAAGAAAGAACCUUUCUAGUGUC